rnacentral:misc_RNA from 1 species
CUUCGUCGUCUUUUUCACACAUGUGCGGUUGUGUCGCAGUGGAUCGAGCGUCACGUUAGCUUUACCCACUUCUCUCUUCUGGACACACACACACACACACAGGCGAGAGCAUACAACUACACGCGUAUGCGCUCUUCUUCCAGCUACUCUUGCAAACCUCAGUGGGCACACUUUGCGAUCACUUCGUUUAUUACCGCUUAGUUGCCCCCUUCCAUUUUGCCGCUCCGCUCGCCUUUUUCUCCCCCUCCCCCCACACACAUCAGCACUUCGCCCGCUGUCUUUUUUCUCUCACAAUUUUUAUCCCUUGUUUCUCAUUGUUUGCGCUGGUUCGCGUAUGUGUUCACGAUGGUGCAACACGCAGCGACGCUGGGUGUGCCGUGUCGUUACGCUAGCCUAGUUUCUCCCCCUGAUUUGUCUCCCGCUCUUUGGUUUGUUCUUUUCUAUGUGUUACACUAUAGCCUCUGUUAAGUUCCCUUUUGCUCAAGUCCUUUGAGACUGUUUUACUGUGUUUACUUCUGUGCUCUUCUUCUCACCCUCCCUGUCCUUCGGCUAUGGUAUUGCCGCUUUUAUUCUUUUUUUUUUCAUGAGGUGAAGUCUCCAUGUGUUUGCCUUUACCCUUUCUGGCGGUCCUAUUUUUUCUUUGAAAGCACAACUCGUUGCUCAUGUUGAAUGCUUCUCUCCUUGCAUAUUCCUCAUGCCAGAGAGCACUCUAGCCCUCUUCUGUCGCAUGUUUCUCCCUUAGAGAAAAAACGAUUUCCAUAUCUCCGCGCGCUUCUACGCAGUUCUCGCGAUCCACAUGCGUACACGAAGGCACGCACGAACAAACAUACAGCGCGGUCACCUGUCUCUUGAUGUGCUUUUGGCAUGGGGCUUCGCCAGCGCCGACAAAGGCGCUCCAGCUCCACUGGCGAUCAAGCGGGGUGAUACGCCCAACCCGUCACCGAUAAGCAGCGAACGCCACGCUGCCUUUCGGCGGCCCAAAGAGGGCCUGAGGAGCGCACCGCGUGGCAUAUAAGCGGUGAGCCCCGCGCUUCGGGAGAAAGACCACCCCCCGCACGACACAGAACGGGCUCGUCAGGAAUAUCGUUCUACAAAUGGUAGAUCUUGACGCGGCGCGCCACGGCACAACCCAAGGGGGGGCCGCGUACCAGGCGAUGAUGUCGACCCAAAAAGGGAUCCGGCGCGGAAUGGCCGAGUCACAGCAAAAAAAAGGAACGAGGCGCCACCUGUCUUCCGAGAUGUGUUGCUCCCGAUGGCGAGUGGGCCGCCAGGGAUGCUCUGAAUCGCGCUUCUUCUGGCCUGGAAGACGGCGCCGUGAUGGGAUGAUCUUUCGAGGAUGACGGAGCGGACCAAUGUUUCUUGAGGGAGGGGGGCAGCACAGUCAUUCCUAGCUUCGGUGCGGUGGCAAGCAUCAGUUGCACACUCUCUCUCCCGCCGAGCCUUUAGUCGUCGUGGCGGGUGGCCUGAAACCCGCCAUUGCAGAGUACUUGCGACGCAAGUGCGGCAGGAGAGAAACCCUGCGCUUCAACCUUGCGACCGCGGGAGUUUGGGAGUUGUCACGGCCGCUGUGCUCCCGGUGACAGCGUAAUCAAACGCCGGGCGCUGACGCACUUCACGGCGCAGAUGAUGGGAGCGGGACUCCCUUUGAACCUCGCCUUGGCGCUGGCACGCCACUGUUGGCUGACCAAGGCUUGCAAAGAGCGGCCGAAACAGGUUCACGCCGCUCUUCCCCGUGCAUGUCUGUAUGGAAAUGCAUGCACGUUUGUACAUCACCCUUGGCUACUACGCUCUCUCUAUCCCGCAGAGCACUUCUUACGCGGUACGGGGCAGAAAAAGUGGUAGCCAGGCGGCGAGGAUGUUCUAACUUUUAUCUUAUCUGCCCCACGCUCUCUCUCUGUUAUUCUGUAUACACAUAUAUACAUUUUCUCCGGUGCGCACCGCUGCUUUUCUUGCUGUUUUUUCACAUAG